UUAAUUGCUUUUGAAUUUAUUACCAAAAAAAAAUAGAUGCAGUGAAUGAAACAAAACAUUAAAUACAGCUUUCUUUAUUUUUAUUUAAAACACAGUGACAGUGAUAGUAAAUAUAAUUAUACAAAUUAUAGUCAGGUAGAUAGUAAUGAAAAUGGAAUACAGUUCAAUCUUGUUAUUCAAACCAAACAGAGAUUCAAUCUUUUUCAUCAGCUACUCAGAUUAACCGCAUUGGAAACUAUAAUAGGAUUUAUUUCAGCAGUUUAGGAUUCAGUCUGAGUAAGCAUCUGGUAAAUUGGUUCAAUUGACCAGACUCGGCUGUAUUGUUUUAAAAAGUGCACAUAACACAUGACCAGGCAGCCAUCCUGGUAUUAUAUAAGAAUUUAAUCAAUAUUUAUUAUAUAUCUUAAUUUACCAUCCAUCGCAUCAUAGAGCUGCU